rnacentral:rRNA from 1 species
GUGAACGCUGGCGGUAGGCCUAACACAUGCAAGUCGAACGGCAGCACAGUAAGAGCUUGCUCUUACGGGUGGCGAGUGGCGGACGGGUGAGGAAUACAUCGGAAUCUACUUUUUCGUGGGGGAUAACGUAGGGAAACUUACGCUAAUACCGCAUACGACCUACGGGUGAAAGCAGGGGAUCUUCGGACCUUGCGCGAUUGAAUGAGCCGAUGUCGGAUUAGCUAGUUGGCGGGGUAAAGGCCCACCAAGGCGACGAUCCGUAGCUGGUCUGAGAGGAUGAUCAGCCACACUGGAACUGAGAACCGGUCCAGACUCCUACGGGAGGCAGCAGUGGGGAAUAUUGGACAAUGGGCGCAAGCCUGAUCCAGCCAUACCGCGUGGGUGAAGAAGGCCUUCGGGUUGUAAAGCCCUUUUGUUGGGAAAGAAAAGCAGCAGGUUAAUACCCCGCUGUUCUGACGGUACCCAAAGAAUAAGCACCGGCUAACUUCGUG